GGAAGGAAGCCAUCUAUCUCAGUGGCUAAAGAGUUGUUUCCUGAAGGUGAUGUGCAGGAGGACAUAGUGAUUUAGGGUAUUUUUGACUAGGAGGAUAACUUUUCCCCAAACCAAAUAUUCAUGCAUUUCCAAAUAGAGAUGUAGUUAAAAGGGUGUGAUAUAAAUGUGAGAGCAUUUCCUUUGACAAAAAUAAACUACUGCUGAGAGACAGUUGGUUUAGGUAAACUUAAUCUGAGACUGCAGAAUUCUGGGGAGUAACUGACAAGGUAAAGAAAGCUCCAGACCUGGGCAACAUUCCUACCCCAACAGUCAAACCUAGAGUAAAGGAAUAUUGGAAGUUGAACCCAUGAUGUCUUAGAGGUUUACAAAUGGAUUGUACUCAGUCACAUCUGAGCACCAUGGCAGACCACCCACCUGCAGGAUCAGUACACCUGCCUUAAAAAACCAACUGCAAUGAAAUACUUUUGAAUGGAGAAGCAUCUGGAAAUUGAGGAUAUCAGAGAAACUGCUUGCUGGUGCAGAGAGGAGACCAAUUACGCCUGAGGAAACAGAACCCGCAAAUAACCAAAUGACUGCUCUGUGGGAACCCCAGGCUAACCACAAUUUUCAUGAGCUAACCUGACCACAAGAUGACACCCAUGUUAUCUGCUGGAGAUAGCCUGAUCAAAAACACUACUGUUGUGGAGAUGAUUCUUAUCUCCUAUAAUACCUGUACCUUUCCUCUGUCCAACCAUUAAAGGAAGCAGUUGCCUAAGGAUGUAUUAUAUGCAGGUCCAGAUGCUAAAGAAUACACUGCUGAGUUGGAGGUGGGAUUCAAUACUCAAGAAUUCUUGGUGUUCUCAGGGACACUUCCCUGCCCCCUGCUUACUUGUGUGCACUGAGCAUCUUCGGCCCCCAACAUGAUACCCACGUGGAAAAGGAUGACAUCGAGCAAAGAGCAUAUGUGGAAGCUUGUUCUCCCCACAACACACCCUCAGCUGCUUUUGACUCCAAAGUUUAAAGAGAGAAGACUUGCUUCCAAUGGCUGGCGCCACCCUCCGCAUCCACAUCCCAGAUUCAUAGAGAGGUGCACAGGAAGGAGGAAAGCAGGUGGCUUUCUAGGGGAACAAGGGUCAAGAAUGGGAAUCUAACCACCCAACCUAAGAUUCUCAUCUAUAAAGAGGCCACCCCACCUUACCAGCUGAGGUCACCAUCUUGAACUCAUAAAGGUUCAGAAGAGAACACAAGCCCUGUUUUCGGGUCAAGAGCUUUGGAAUCAGUCACACUUGAAUAAAAAUUCAAAUGCUUUUAC
ensembl:lncRNA